AUACGUAGGUGGCAAGCGUUGUCCGGAAUUAUUGGGCGUAAAGCGCAUGUAGGCGGUUUGGUAAGUCGGUCGUGAAAAUGCGGUGCUUAACGCCGUAUGGCGAUUGAAACUGCUGAACUUGAGUGCAGGGGAGGAAAGGGGAACUCCCAGUGUAGCGGUGAAAUGCGUAGAUAUUGGGAAGAACACCGGUGGCGAAGGCGCCUUUCUGGACUGUGUCUGACGCUCAGAUGCGAAAGCCAGGGUAGCGAACGGGAUUAGAUACCCCGGUAGUCCUGGCCGUAAACGAUGGGUACUAGGUGUGGGAGGUAUCGACUCCUUCCGUGCCGGAGUUAACGCAAUAAGUACCCCGCCUGGGGAGUACGGCCGCAAGGCUUAAACUCAAAUGAAUUGACGG
rnacentral:rRNA from 1 species